rnacentral:rRNA from 1 species
CCUACGGGAGGCAGCAGUGAGGAAUUUUCCGCAAUGGGCGAAAGCCUGACGGAGCAAUACCGCGUGAGGGAUGAAGGAUUUUGGUCUGUAAACCUCUUUUCUCAAGAAAGAAGUCCUGACGGUACUUGAGGAAUAAGCAUCGGCUAACUCCGUGCCAGCAGCCGCGGUAAUACGGGGGAUGCAAGCGUUAUCCGGAAUGAUUGGGCGUAAAGCGCCUGUAGGUUGUUUAUUAAGUCCGUUGUUAAAGCCUAGGGCUCAACCCUAGAAAAGCAAUGGAAACUAGUAGACUAGAGUAUGGCAGGGGUAGAGGGAAUUUCUAGUGUAGCGGUGAAAUGCGUAGAUAUUAGAAAGAACACCGGUGGCGAAAGCGCUCUACUGGACCAUUACUGACACUCAGAGGCGAAAGCUAGGGUAGCAAAAGGGAUUAGAUACCCCUGUAGUCCUAGCCGUAAACGAUGGAUACUAGAUGUUGUGCAUUAUGUACAGUAUCGUAGCUAACGCGUUAAGUAUCCCGCCUGGGGAGUACGCUCGCAAGGGUGAAACUCAAAGGAAUUGACGG